CUGGCUGGAGCUCAGGGUGGCAGGCUAAACCGGACUGUGAGCAGUUGGAGUAGCAGUGAGGAUGUGACUCCAAGGGGGACUUCUUUGCUGGCACUGUGAGCAAGGUUUCACCAGCAGGAGCUGGUGACAAGGAUCAUUGCUGUGUCUUUUAUGCUGUUGAACAGAUGAAUAAUACAGAGGAAAGCCCACGUGGACUGAGGACAUACACAUGGAGCAUGGAGGUGACAAGACCACUUCUUCAGGAAUGACCAGAAUAGCAUAAAAGAUCAAUGAAAGCAUUGCUAAAAAAGGAAGACUGAAAUCUCAACCUUUCAGGGAGUAAUUUAUCAUUUGGAUGAGCCUAAUGAGAAAAGUAGUGCAGUGAAUGAUGUGACAAUAUGAAACAACAAAAUAGUGAAUGAUUAACGAGCGACAAAUUGAGAGGGAAAAAAAAGGAUAACGCUUUCAUUAUGGUGCAAAAGAGAAUUUGACAAACUCAUCCAAGAAAGCAACCACUUUUUCCUCCGUCUUAGUUGAACGCCUUGAAAAACGAAUAAUCAUACUGCUUUCAAGGAAUUUCGUAAGUGUAAAAUAGUUAAACUUCUAUAGAAUUUCAAUAAUUAAGGGUUACAAAUAUAUUUAAAGGAUUUUGAAGCUUUAAUAAUUAAAACUUUAUAAAAAUUAUGCUGCAAUUAUUCAGGGCAAAUCAAAAUGAGAAAAAAACC
rnacentral:lncRNA from 1 species